rnacentral:rRNA from 1 species
UACGGAGGGAGCUAGCGUUGUUCGGAAAUACUGGGCGUAAAGCGCACGUAGGCGGUCUAUUAAGUCAGGGGUGAAAUCCCAGAGCUCAACUCUGGAACUGCCCUUGAAACUGCUAGACUGGAAUCUUGGAGAGGUGAGUGGAAUUCCGAGUGUAGAGGUGAAAUUCGUAGAUAUUCGGAAGAACACCAGUGGCGAAGGCGACUCACUGGACAAGUAUUGACGCUGAGGUGCGAAAGCGUGGGGAGCAAACAGG